UGGGGAAUAUUGCACAAUGGGGGAAACCCUGAUGCAGCGACGCCGCGUGAGCGAUGAAGGCUUUCGAGUCGUAAAGCUCUGUCCUAUGGGAAGAUAAUGACGGUACCAUAGAAGAAAGCCCCGGCUAAUUACGUGCCAGCAGCCGCGGUAAUACGUAAGGGGCGAGCGUUGUCCGGAAUUAUUGGGCGUAAAGAGUGCGUAGGCGGCAAAUUAAGUCAGAUGUGAAAACUAAGGGCUCAACCCAUAGAUUGCAUCUGAAACUGAUAUGCUUGAGUCAAGGAGAGGAAAGUGGAAUUCCUAGUGUAGCGGUGGAAUGCGUAAAUAUUAGGAGGAAUACCGGUGGCGAAGGCGACUUUCUGGACUUGAACUGACGCUGAGGCACGAAAGCGUGGGGAGCAAACAGG
rnacentral:rRNA from 1 species